UUUCUUCCUUUCCUUUCUUUCUUUCUUUCUUUCUUUCUUCCUUUUCUUUUCUUCC
rnacentral:ribozyme from 13 species